GAUCCUGGCUUAGGAUGAACGCUGGCGGCGUGCCUAACACAUGCAAGUCGAACGGGGUAGAAAUACCUAGUGGCGGACGGGUGAGUAACGCGUGAGAAUCUGCCUUCAGGAUGGGACAACAGUUGGAAACGACUGCUAAAACCCGAUGUGCCGCAAAGGUGAAAAAUUAAUUGCCUGGAGAUGAGCUCGCGUCUGAUUAGCUAGUUGGUGGGGUAAGAGCGUACCAAGGCGACGAUCAGUAGCUGGUCUGAGAGGAUGAGCAGCCACACUGGGACUGAGACACGGCCCAGACUCCUACGGGAGGCAGCAGUGGGGAAUUUUCCGCAAUGGGCGAAAGCCUGAACCGGAGCAACGCCGCGUGAGGGAGGAAGGCCCUUGGGUUGUAAACCUCUUUUCUCAGGGAAGAAGCAAGUGACGGUACCUGAGGAAUCAGCAUCGGCUAACUCCGUGCCAGCCGCGGC
rnacentral:rRNA from 1 species